UACGAAGGGGGCUAGCGUUGCUCGGAAUUACUGGGCGUAAAGCGCACGUAGGCGGAUAUUUAAGUCGGGGGUGAAAUCCCGGGGCUCAACCCCGGAACUGCCUUCGAUACUGGGUAUCUUGAGUUCGGAAGAGGUGAGUGGAAUUGCGAGUGUAGAGGUGGAAUUCGUAGAUAUUAGGAAGAACACCAGUGGCGAAGGCGGCUCACUGGUCCGGUACUGACGCUGAUGUGCGAAAGCGUGGGGAGCAAACAGG
rnacentral:rRNA from 1 species